rnacentral:rRNA from 1 species
AAAGAAACCAACAGGGAUUGCCUCAGUAACGGCGAGUGAAGCGGCAAGAGCUCGAAUUUGAAAGCUGGCCCCCUCGGGGUCCGCAUUGUAAUUUGCAGAGGAUGCUUCGGGUGCAGCCCCCGUCUAAGUGCCCUGGAACGGGCCGUCAUAGAGGGUGAGAAUCCCGUCUGGGACGGGGUGUCUGCGUCCGUGUGAAGCUCCUUCGACGAGUCGAGUUGUUUGGGAAUGCAGCUCUAAAUGGGUGGUAAAUUUCAUCUAAAGCUAAAUACUGGCCGGAGACCGAUAGCGCACAAGUAGAGUGAUCGAAAGAUGAAAAGCACUUUGAAAAGAGAGUUAAACAGCACGUGAAAUUGUUGAAAGGGAAGCGUUUGCGACCAGACUCGCCCGCGGGGUUCAGCCGGCAUUCGUGCCGGUGUACUUCCCCGCGGGCGGGCCAGCGUCGGUUUGGGCGGCCGGUCAAAGGCCCUCGGAAUGUAUCACCCCCCGGGGUGUCUUAUAGCCGAGGGUGCAAUGCGGCCUGCCCGGACCGAGGAACGCGCUUCGGCUCGGACGCUGGCGUAAUAGUCGUAAAUGAC